GCCAUUUCCUGCACCCCUCAAGACCCAGGGAUGCUGCACCGGGAGAGCUGGCAGACGGGCAGCCCAUGCCACACCUUCCCCUCCCCAGGCUUGCUUGAGCAGCUUGUUCUUGGACCCCGUGAAACUUUUUUGGGCGCCUGGGUGGCUCAGUUGGUUGAGCAACUGCUUUCAGCUCAGGUCACGGUCCUGGAGUCCCGGGAUCGAGUCCCGCAUCGGGCUCCCAGCUCCAUGGGGAGUCUGCUUCUCCCUCUGACCUUCUCGCCUCUCAUGUUCUCUCUCACUGUCUUGCUCUCAAAUAAAUAAAUAAAAUCUUUAAAAAAAAAUAAAAUAAAGUUUUGACUUGAGUUGAAUCUGAGUGAGUUUUGAUCCUUGCACCUAAAUCUGUCCCAAGGUGGAAAUAGCAGGAAUUGGUUUGCCCAGUGACUGAGUCACUUCUUUUCCUAUUUGUCAACCUCUCAGUCUGGGCGUCGCCUCCCUCCUGUUGGUGACCAAACGCAGCGGGAUAGGAGCUGGCCGGCUGCUUGCAGCCUGAGGCUGCGGUCUCCGUCCCACCGCGCCAGAGAAUCAGGGAGCCGGCCGCCUGCCCUGGCGAUGGCGCCAGUCCGCUGAGCCAAGCAGGCCUGACUCAGGCCCUUCGGGAGCAAGGGGGGCUCCCAUCAAGAUGGUCUGUCCCCUGGGGCGCAAAAAGAGGGAGGAGCUAGUGUUGCCCCAGACUGAGAGGGUUCCAAGGGCGCUGGACUUCCAGUCUCAAAAUCAAGAAAGUCCUGGGCAGACCAGGACAAUCUGGUCACCCCAGAGCAGCUUAGGUACAAGGAAAAGAAGAAUCUGGAACUUUCUAUGAACUUGGUCUCCAGCCUCAUUAUAGGCUAAUUGAAGUCUAAGUUAAGUCAGGACUCUUCCUUUCGGUAAAAUAGAAAUUCUGUCAAUGUGUAAGAGAUAUCAUGAGACCUAUGUGAGAACACAUGGAAGAUGACAGGCCCUUGUGUCAUUGGAAGUUUCUCUAACUAGUCCUUGACCCUCAUCCCAGUAGAACUCCUCCUCUUGCACUUCUAGUUUCACGUGAACUUACCGUUCCCCUUCCCAUGAUCGCAGGUUAAACUAUCACCUGUGUCUACACGGGUGGAAACACCACUGGGUCUACAUUCCCCUUCUCCUCUACCCUCCCAAAGUUCUUUGUACCAGCUUCCUUUCCUGUAGCCCCACAACCUGUCUGUGCCUUGGGGCACCCUCGCUACUUAGGGGAGUGAUCUGGGUGUCUGUGCACCUAACACUUCUCUGCAUCAGGUUUCUGGCCCCUCGCACAGUUCACCACAGGGCUGGGGCCGCGGGGCCCCAUCUGGAGGCAGGUGUUGACUUGGCGUCAAGAUGAGUGAAAACAGGUAUAGACCAAAGUGCUCCACUCACUAGAAGCCACUGCUAUUCUUAAAGGGAGAGCUCAGAUGGACUCCAGUUCUAUUCUUAACCAUCUGCACGACCUUUGCGUGUCUUCGUCUACCCAUAACAUGAAGGGUACCGGGGACGGAGCAGGGAAAGAAAAGGCAGAACGCAGGGGAUUUGUAGGACAGUGAGAAUGCUCGGUGUGGUACCAUGAUGGACCUAUGUCCUCGGGCAUUUGUCCAGACCCACAGAAUGUGCCCUAUGAAGAGUGACCUACAGUCAGCUAUGAACAUUGGGUGAUGAGAAUGUUGUCCAUGUAGGUUCAUGCUUGGUCUGAAAAACAAACAAACAAACAAAACCACCACGCUGGGGAGUGAUGUUGGUCAUGAGGGAGGCUACGCGCGCGUCGGAGGGUAGAAAGUGUACGACGGUCCCUGCACCUUCCUCUUGUGUCGUAAACCUAGAACUUGACAAAAAAAGUCUUUUCAAUAAGCAAAUGAUACAUAAAUACAAAUCAAGGAGAUGAUUUCUCAAGUUC
ensembl:lincRNA